UCCUACGGGAGGCANCAGUAGGGAAUCUUGCNCAAUGGGCGAAAGCCUGACGCAGCAAUGCCGCGUGCGGGACGAAGGCCCUAGGGUCGUAAACCGCUUUCAGUAGGGACGAAAAUGACGGUACCUGCAGAAGAAGCUCCGGCCAACUACGUGCCAGCAGCCGCGGUGAUACGUAGGGAGCAAGCGUUGUCCGGAAUUACUGGGCGUAAAGGGCUCGUAGGUGGUUGAGUAAGUCAGAUGUGAAAUCUCAGGGCCCAACCCUGAGCCUGCAUUUGAUACUGCUCUGACUAGAGUCCGGUAGGGGAGUGCGGAACUCCUGGUGUAGCGGUGAAAUGCGCAGAUAUCAGGAAGAACACCGACAGCGAAGGCAGCACUCUGGGCCGGUACUGACACUGAGGAGCGAAAGCAUGGGUAGCAAACAGGAUUAGAUACCCUGGUAGUCCAUGCCGUAAACGUUGGGCACUAGGUGUGGGGAGAACUCAACUCUCUCCGCGCCGUAGCUAACGCAUUAAGUGCCCCGCCUGGGGAGUACGGCCGCAAGGCUAAAACUCAAAGGAAUUGACGG
rnacentral:rRNA from 1 species